UACGAAGGGGGCUAGCGUUGCUCGGAAUCACUGGGCGUAAAGCGCACGUAGGCGGCUUUUUAAGUCAAGGGGUGAAAUCCUGGAGCUCAACUCCAGAACUGCCUUUGAUACUGAGAAGCUUGAGUCCGGGAGAGGUGAGUGGAACUGCGAGUGUAGAGGUGAAAAUUCGUAGAUAUUCGCAAGAACACCAGUGGCGAAGGCGGCCAUCUGGACAGAUAUUGACGCUGAGGUGCGAAAGCGUGGGGAGCAAACAGG
rnacentral:rRNA from 1 species